rnacentral:rRNA from 1 species
CAGCCGCCGCGGUAAUACGGAGGGUGCAAGCGUUAAUCGGAAUUACUGGGCGUAAAGCGCACGCAGGCGGUUUGUUAAGUCAGAUGUGAAAUCCCCGGGCUCAACCUGGGAACUGCAUUUGAAACUGGCAAGCUAGAGUCUCGUAGAGGGGGGUAGAAUUCCAGGUGUAGCGGUGAAAUGCGUAGAGAUCUGGAGGAAUACCGGUGGCGAAGGCGGCCCCCUGGACGAAGACUGACGCUCAGGUGCGAAAGCGUGGGGAGCAAACAGGAUUAGAGACCCGAGUAGUCCCUGUCUCUUUAUA